rnacentral:rRNA from 1 species
UACGUAGGGUGCAAGCGUUUAAUCGGAAUACUGGGCGUAAAGCGUGCGCAGGCGGUUUUGUAAGUCUGACGUGAAAUCCCCGGGCUCAACCUGGGAAUUGCGUUGGAGACUGCAAGGCUAGAAUCUGGCAGAGGGGGGUAGAAUUCCACGUGUAGCAGUGAAAUGCGUAGAGAUGUGGAGGAACACCGAUGGCGAAGGCAGCCCCCUGGGCUGAGAUUGACGCUCAGGCACGAAAGCGA